CGGGGGGGGCGAGCGUUGUUCGGAAUUACUGGGCGUAAAGGGCGCGUAGGCGGUCUGCUAAGUUGGAUGUGAAAACUCUGGGCUUAACCCAGAGCCUGCAUUCAAAACUGACAGGCUAGAGUUCUGGAGGGGAUAGCGGAAUUCCUGGUGUAGCGGUGAAAUGCGUAGAUAUCAGGAGGAACACCGGUGGCGAAGGCGGCUAUCUGGACAGAGUCUGACGCUGAGGCGCGAAAGCUAGGGGAGCAAACAGGAUUAGAUACCCUGGUAGUCCUAGCCCUAAACGAUGGAUACUUGGUGUGACUGGGAUUGAAUCCAGUCGUGCCGAAGCUAACGCAUUAAGUAUCCCGCCUGGGGAGUACGGUCGCAAGGCUG
rnacentral:rRNA from 1 species